UAUCGUGCUGAUGUGUGUAGCUUUCAGACCUGCAGCCUUAAUGAAAAAUGUGUAAGCUUGUCAGGCUACGCAAAAUGUGAAUGUAAAGAAGGGACAACUCGCAUCAAUGGGAUAUGCAAAGAAAACAAUAAAAAUACUCAGGAUAAAAAUGAAUGUUUAUAUAACCCGUGUGACAUCAUGACAGAAGACUGCACCAACACGGUAGAAAGUUUCGUAUGUUCUUGUAAGAAAGGAUACACGAGAAAUAAACAAGGCGUUUGCCAAGAAACUUCUACUUAUGUAUUUACUAUAAAAAUUGAAAUGGAUGUCACAAAGUUGAACCUUCAAGAUGAAAAUAGCAUUGACUACAAAGACAUGAAAUCGGAAAUUCAGGCAG